rnacentral:rRNA from 1 species
GACGAACGCUGGCGGCGUGCUUAACACAUGCAAGUCGAACGGAAAGGCCCCUUUGGGGGUACUCGAGUGGCGAACGGGUGAGUAACACGUGAGUAACCUGCCCUUGACUUCGGGAUAACUUCAGGAAACUGGGGCUAAUACCGGAUAGGAAUCCUUGCUGCAUGGUGGGGGUUGGAAAGCUUCGGCGGUUUUGGAUGGACUCGCGGCUUAUCAGCUUGUUGGUGGGGUAGUGGCUUACCAAGGCUUUGACGGGUAGCCGGCCUGAGAGGGCGACCGGCCACAUUGGGACUGAGAGACGGCCCAGACGCCUACGGGGGGCAGCAGGGGGGAAUAUUGCACAAUGGGCGGGAGCCUGAUGCAGCAACGCCGCGGGCGGGAUGACGGGCUUCGGGUUGUGAACCGCUUUCAGCAGGGGCGAAGCUUGUGGUGACGGUACCUGCAGAAGAAGCACCGGCUAACUACGUG